rnacentral:rRNA from 1 species
AGUGGACGCUGGCGGUAGGCCUAACACAUGCAAGUCGAACGGCAGCACAGUAAGAGCUUGCUCUUACGGGUGGCGAGUGGCGGACGGGUGAGGAAUACAUCGGAAUCUACUUUUUCGUGGGGGAUAACGUAGGGAAACUUACGCUAAUACCGCAUACGACCUACGGGUGAAAGCAGGGGAUCUUCGGACCUUGCGCGAUUGAAUGAGCCGAUGUCGGAUUAGCUAGUUGGCGGGGUAAAGGCCCACCAAGGCGACGAUCCGUAGCUGGUCUGAGAGGAUGAUCAGCCACACUGGAACUGAGACACGGUCCAGACUCCUACGGGAGGCAGCAGUGGGGAAUAUUGGACAAUGGGCGCAAGCCUGAUCCAGCCAUACCGCGUGGGUGAAGAAGGCCUUCGGGUUGUAAAGCCCUUUUGUUGGGAAAGAACAGCAGCAGGUUAAUCCCCCGCUGUUCUGACGGUACCCAAAGAAUAAGCACCGGCUAACUUCGUG